GAUGAAGAACGUAGCGAAAUGCGAUACUUGGUGUGAAUUGCAGAAUCCCGUGAACCAUCGAGUCUUUGAACGCAAGUUGCGCCUCAAGCCAUUAGGUUGAGGGCACGUCUGCCUGGGCGUCACAUAUCGUUGCCUGAUGCCAGUUUCCUCGUGAUGGGUGACUGUGCAGGGCGAAUGAUGGCUUCCCGUGAGCAUUGUUGCCUCAUGGUUGGUUGAAAAUUGAGUCCUUGGUAGGGAGCGCCGUGAUAGAUGGUGGUUGAGUGACGAACGAGACCCAAUCAUGUGAGACCCCUACCGAAUUUGGCCUGCAGGACCCACAUGCGUCUUUGGAACGCUCAUGACGAGACCUCAGGUCAGGCGGGGCUACCCGCUGAGUUUAAGCAUAUCAAUAAGCGGAGGA
rnacentral:misc_RNA from 1 species